AGGCUACUUUAUUAUUUGGCUCACAGAAAGGAGAAAGUACCGCAUGUCCUGUUUGUAUGAUAAAAAUAAAUCUCUCUAGGCCCACCAUGUGCUCCUUUCUCUGUUUUGGUCACUGCCCCAUGGUUAGAAUUGUUUACCCAUGUAAAAAAAGGACAUUGAAAGGACUGUGAGGUACAGACAUGGUAGAUCAUGCGAGACUCAAAAUGGUGCCAAGGGCCUUUACCUCCCCAGCCUUUGCUGGGAGGGUGUCCAAGAGGGCCCCCUAAGGAACGACCCCCAGUGGGCAGCAUGUAAGAUGUCCCCCCCCCCCCGCUUGUGUUUAUCUUCCUAUCUGCCCAACUCAAAAAUAAUGAUGAAAGUAAAUAUUUGGGACCAGGUUUAUUUUGGUCAGACAAAUUCCAGCCUGCUUUCUAAAAUUAGGAAGUCUGUGGGAUGCACGUGGCUUGGGGCAUCCUGCCGGAGAAGUUUGGCUUGGAGAUAUUUGGUUCUCUUCCUUACUGAGGCUAGCUUGGGAAAACGUGCAUCUGAAGAGACCCAGGGCUGGUGUUGACAGAUGCCAGGAGAGAGAGAAAAAAUCACUUCCACGUAUCCAGCCUCCAUCCAGAACUUACCAACAGAAUCAUUUCUGUCCUACCAAGCAAAAGCUGGUAAGGCCUGACAAGAUGGCUCAGCAAGAUAAGAUGCUUGCUACAGAACCGAGAGACCACAGUUCAAGCCCCAGGACCCACAUGGAGAAAGAAAGGGGUAUGACUAGACUGGGGAGCAGAGACCGUGAGUUCCAUUAGCCACAUCAGAGGGGAAGGACCUAUGACAUCCAGAGAUGUCCAUCCCACAGGUUGGUUAAACCAGCUGAAAUGUGGGAGAGAGGUCUGGACCAAAGACCACUUAGUUAUACCAGUCAUACUUGGUCCUAAGGAGAUAUGUCUAUUUCCUACUUAGCAGCUUGGAAAUUAGAAGAGCCCAGAGCCUUCCCUUACUUCAUACAAAGGGAACCCACCAAAGCUGCAUCUCCCUACUCCAAGAAGGGGGUGGGGAACCUGUCCACGUCCACCAGCCUCCAUACUGCCCAAACUCACU
rnacentral:lncRNA from 1 species